rnacentral:lncRNA from 1 species
UGAUAGAGAAAGUACUCUUUGCUAGGUAGCCAGUUGCGCCAGUGAUGAAAAUGGUCUUGCCCUCCAGAAACUGAUUAAUGCAGCUCGAUUCCAUGUCCAUUGGAAGUGAGGAAAUUUAUGGAGGUUAAAUCUUUAUGCAAAAGAUAAUAUCACCUGGAGUUUUAGUUAUUCAACCAGACUGCAAGCUAAGCUAUCUAUUCAGCAACAAAUUUUAGCCCUGUCCAAAUAUAUUAAUUACCAGAUGGCACAUUAUAUAAGGACACAUGAAACAUUUCAAGCAUUAAUUAAGUAUGAAAGAUAUCUAAUUCCACAUGGUGCAAAUGAAGUUUCCAAAUUUGGUGGAGAUAUUAUUGAUCAAGAAAUUAGUGCUGUGAAUGUGAUUCAUGAGCUGUUGCAAUCUUUGGAAGAAAAGAGACGUAAGGAGGCGAUGACAUCUUUUAGUAAAUAAAAAAGGCAGUCCAGUGCACUAAUCUCCCGCUAUGCGUGAGGUCCGGAGAAGUGUCGGACCACAAAGGUCUAUUGUAUGCGAUCUUACCUUAUAUUUCUACCAGAGGCUGUUUCUACGGACCUCCUGGUCACAUGGCAGCAACUUUUUAAAUAGAUUUGCUAGAAUUAUGAAAAGAUGUUUUCAAUAGACACAUUAUCAACAACAUAAGGUACUCUAUAGGUCAGAUUUCUAGUUUAGGUGUUUAAAUGAAAAAUCAUAACAACUUUAAGGGGUUGUCCAUGUAUUAUGCCUUAAAUAAUAGUGCUCUAAUUAUAAAGUGAUUAUUUACAUUUUACAUGUCUUUUACAAUUUUAUAAUUUAACACUUAAACAAUACUUUUCUAAAAUAAUUUGGCCAAAUAAAAUAUAAGCUAAUCUCCUAAAGUACCUUCUUUUGGAACUUUGUGAGUAAAUUUUAUGGAUGGUCAUUUAGCUUUGUGUUCAUUACCCUAAAGUCAUUUUUUUUUGAUUACAUAAAAGUCAUUCAACCUUGUGUUCAUUACCCAAAAGUCACUUUUCUUUCUUAUGUUACACAAAAAUUAUUUUAUUAUGCUCUAGUUAUCACAAUAAUCACUUUGACCAUAUUUUAUAAAACUUUCACCUAUGCCAUUGGCUUUAUAAAUCCUCCCAUUAUGUAAUACCUUAUAUAUUAUAUACUAUAUAAUAUAUUUUUACCUAGAUAUUUUACUUAUAGUUAAAAUGGCUUUAUAUUAUUUUAUUAUUAUUUUAUAAUAAAUUCGUACAUUUAAUUUUGUCGUAGAAUAUUCAAACAUGAACAUAUAUUGAAGCAUAAAAACGACAAAAAAUAUUUAUUUUUAAUAUUUAUUUGAAAUAAUAAGAACGGAUUUAGUUAACAAAUGAUAGUAUUUUAUAGUUAGUAAAACUUUCAAAAAAAUUCAAGAUAUUUGUGCUUAAUAUUAAGUCUUUUAAAGCUUUUAUCUGUUAAUAUUAUUUUUAAAAAUAUUAAUUUGAUGUGUCAGUGUGCUAAAUGUGGAUAUUUUCUUCAUUUGAUUAACGAAUAUAGCUUGACUGAUAAAUCUGUGAGAUUUAAUUUUAUAAAUUUUGUUUAAAAUAUUUUAUUAGGUAUGGUUAAGAAUAUUGACGUGAGAUUUAUUUAUAGUAAUAUUACUAACAAAUUUAAUAAUCCUACCUCUAUAUCUUGAAAAUUAACGUUAAGAAAAAAUUAAAUGUCAAAUAUAUUAUAAAAAUAAUAAAUCAUAUAAUAUUAAGUUAUUUUAAUUAUAAGUAAAAUAUUUAGGUAAAAAUAUAUUAUACAGUAUAUAUAAUAUAAAAGGUAUUACAUAAAUCGGAGCAUUUAUAAUGUCAAGGGUAUAAUGGACUUUUCAGGUAAAAGUUGUAUAAAUCAAAGUGACUAUUGUGAUAACUAGAGCAUAGUAAAAUAAUUUUUGUGUAACAAAAGAAAGAAAAAUAACUUUUGGGUAAUGAACACAAAGUUGAAUGACUUUUAUGUAACAAAAAAAGAAAAAUGACUUUAGAGUAAUGAACACAAAGUUGAAUGACCACCCACAAAAUUUACUCGAACUUUGUUUGACAAAAAUUUGCUAAAAAUAUCUACUAUUUUAUGGAAAGAAAAAUAGUAGAAAAUCAAGGAAGGAAUAUUUUCUAAAGCUGAGUAUGAAAAAAUGGGUGUACUAUAAUAAUAAAGAAGAAUAUGGUCGAUCGCCUGUGAAAAAAGAAGAUGGAGGGAAGAAAAAACUUAAUUUUCAAAAUAGUAAAAACAUUAACUUAAUAUGAGAUAACCUAAGGCAAUAAAACAGAACUCUCUACGUUCAAAAUUUUUAAUCUACAUACAUCUCAACAAAAUAAACUCAUCACUUAUAAUGGAUAAAAAAUUCAACAAAAAUUAAAUCUCAAUAUCUCAUGAGAUGAAAAGUACUGCAUGCAUGUGCCCACGUAAUAAAUUUAUGUAAACCAAGUGGGAUUCUUUCAACAAAGCUCUCUUUUAUUCUUUCUAACUAAUAUAUAAUUGCAAAGUUCCUAAAAAGCUUACUACUACAUUAUUAAAUCCGCUCAGAUUACAUUAUCAACCUUGUGAAAAUUUAUUAGAGUGCAAAACUUCACAAACGAACCCCAUGUUAAGCUUAAACCAGCGUCCUAAUUUUAUUUUAUUUUUUUUCAUUUCAAAAGAAAUGCUAAUUUUAAAGGACAACAUAGUGCACAAUGCAUCCCGCAAGCGCCGCACCCCAAAGGAUGUGAUGUAGACAGCAUACUCUAAUGCAAGGAUUAGUAGCUAUAUCCACGGCUCGAACCCGUGACCUAUAGUUUGUCACUUCAAAAAUUAAAAUAAAAAAUUUGUUUUAAACCAGCAAAACUUAAGAAUCAAAAUGAGUUCAAAUCAGAACAAGGAAACAAGAAUGAACCUUUAACUUAACGAUAUAUGAAGUUAGACACUUUGCGAAAGAUGCCAAGAAUCUCAACGCGGGAAGCUUUUUUUUUUUGUGUGGGGUUUAGAUCCGAAAUAUCCUCAGACUUAAAUAGGGAGCAAGGAAGAAAGACAACCAUUGAUCAAAAAUAUUAAUUUCAUGGCUAUCCUUCAC